GGUGUGAAACCUCCAGGCUCAACCUGGAGCCGCCAUUCGAUACUGCCAUGGCUAGGAGUUUGGUAAGGGGACCACGGAACUCCUGGUGUAGCGGUGAAAUGCGCAGAUAUCAGGAAGAACACCAGCGGCGAAGGCGGUGGUCUGGGCCAAUACUGACGCUGAGGAGCGAAAGCGUGGGGAGCGAACAGGAUUAGAUACCCUGGUAGUCCACGCCGUAAACGUUGGGCACUAGGUGUGGGGACCUAUCGACGGUUUCUGUGCCGCAGCUAACGCAUUAAGUGCCCCGCCUGGGGAGUACGGCCGCAAGGCUAAAACUCAAAGGAAUUGACGGGGGCCCGCACAAGCGGCGGAGCAUGUGGCUUAAUUCGAUGCAACGCGAAGAACCUUACCUGGGUUUGAC
rnacentral:rRNA from 1 species